GUCUCGGUGGUGUAGUGGUAGAGCAUGCGUCCCCGGAUAGGAUGAAAAGCGAGUUUGUUUCUCGCCUGAGGCC